rnacentral:lncRNA from 1 species
AAAAUUGUUUGGUCAAAAUUAAACUUCAAACUCAAAAUUAUAUGAGAUUUUUUCUUUUUUAUUUGUCUCAAAAUAAUAGUAUACUUUUCAAAUAAAUAAUAUUUUUACCAAAAUACUUCUUAUUAUUAUUUAACCAACUAAACAUUUAAUAGAACGUUAAAUGCAAAGCAAGGACAAAACUGUCAUUUUAUUAAAUAAAAUUAAUGGUAAUUAAUUGUUUUUUUGUUUGUGAACAAUAAUUAUUGGGACUGAGUAUUAAUUCUCUCUCUUAAUUCUCACUCUAACACCAAUUCCUACCAUUCAUCGUCUUCAUCUUCCUCGCCUAGUCUUAAGUUCACAACAGUUCUUUGACUUCCCAGAAAACUACCUUGCUCAAUUUCAAGCAACAGUAGGGAAAUCCACACUCACUAGCAGAUCAUUGUCAUGUACUCAUGUUGCAACUCGACAACAAGGAACUUACCGGACCUAUAUCGCCGAUUAUUCGUCACCUCCGGAACCUGGAUAUUAGAGAAUUAAAUCAAGUAUGUUUCAAAUUUAGUUUUUGACUUUAUGUUCUUCAAAAACCCAGCUUCAAAAAGCUUAAUUUGAAUAGAUCUUAGAAGCUCAUUUGAAUAAAAAUUAUUAAAACUAAAGUGGGCAUAUACUCAUAUCGAGCAGCUGCCAAUCAAAUAACAAAGGAAAAAAAAAGCAGUAAAUUUCGAAAUGUAACAACCCGCGUGAAUGGAAUCGAAUAAAACAAUGGAUAAGAACUCAAAAGGAAAAACAAAAACAAAAAAGUGAUUGAAGCUGUUAAAUCAAAAGUGUUUUGAAUUUAAGACAUAAACAUCAGGGGAUUUCAGGAAUAAAAUAAACAGAUCAAAACAAGUGAUUCUAACUGACAAAUCAAAUGGGUUUUCGAAAUCAAAUUAAGAAUACUUGCAAAAACAGUACAAAGAGAUGUUGAAAUUAGAAACCCGAAACAAUCGAACUGAAAACAAACGAUUGAAACCGAAAAAUCAAAAUGGUUUAUGGAGUUCAAGUAGAAAGAUAAGAGAUAAUGAAGAACAUAAACCACCAUAAGUCGAAAAUUUUAACAAAACUUAUCUGAACAAAGUCGCAUGAAGAAGUAGAUAAAAUGUUGAAUUAGAUCAGAAAACAAAAAGGGUUUAUUUGAAUCAAGAUGGUUGUGGUUUUGAGGUUUGUUUGAGUUUGUGGUUGGAAAAUUACAGAACUGUGGACUGUUCUUGUGUGUGUGAGAGAGAGAGAGAGAGUUGUUUAUUUGAUUGUUUAUGUGGAAAUCCACGUGUCAUCCACAUGGUGUUGAUUAGGCAGCCACGUGAAUGUGUGUCAUAGUAUACAUCCCAAAAAGAUAACCGUUUAUGUAAUUUACUUAUUUUCUUUAUUAUAUUAUCAUGAUAUGACCUGUUGUUUUGAAAACUAGACAUGGAUUUUUAAUAUAUGUGUCAUGACUCAUGAUGAUAUUUACUCCUUAUCUAUUUAUUCUAUAAACAUAUUAUGUCAAAUAAUUAUAAAAUUACUAGAUAUGGAUUAUUAAUAAUAUCAAAAGAUGAAUAAUUUCUAGGCACUUAAACGUGAUUCGGUGACUGGCUAAUAUUUGUAUCAUGAUAAUAUUUUCUUUUUAGAAACUUAGGAUAUUUUAUAUAAUAAUUUUGAAGGUUAAACGAUUAAACUGAAUUUGAAAGGUCAAACAUAAAUUCAAUUUAAUUUUUAGAAAAAUGUCCGGAAGUAAGUAAUGCUGGAAUUGUAAUUUUAAAGAUAUUAUAACUUACAUUUCAAUCGGCUUGAUGAGUUUGUCUAAUAACAAUAAUUAUAUCAUGGUCUAUGUAAGUAAAUAUGAAUAUGAUUUAUUUUUAUUUUAACAAUCUUAUCAACUAUUAUCAAUAGUGGAAAUUUGCAAGGUUAUAAAAAACAAAAGGAUAUACAAUUAAUAGACCAAAAUUAAAUAUAAUGUGAUUACCAAAAACUUUAAUAUAUUAAACGUUCACUAAUUUUUGGAUACAAAAGGAAAUUAUAGGAUUUUCUUAAUCCGCCAUAAUUGUGUUUGUGAUAUUAUUAAUUAAUUCACUAAAUCUAGUGUAUAAAUAUAUGUAUAAAUAUAAAUGGCGUUUGUUAAAGUUUAAACUUCAUAUUCCUUUCAAGCAAAAAAAAACCUUAGGUGUUGGUUGGUUCGCGGAAUGUUAUUGGAGGAAUUUGAAUUGGAAUUAGAAAAUGAAUCUCUCAUGAAUUUGAAUCCAAUUCCAUGUGUUGUUUGGUUGGUAGGAAAUGAGAUUGAAAUUAAUUUCAUAUCCUGUUUGGUUUGCAGGAAAUGAAAUUGAAAUUCAUGAAAAAUGACUGAACUGCCCUUUUGUCUAUUUUGCUUAAUCAUAUGAAUUUAUCAUGUCCAUACAAAAUCAUAUCGUAUUGAAGGUGUAAUGUAAUUUCUAGCAAGUAUAUCUAAAACCACACAAUCAAUUUUCAAAGAUAUUUAUGUUUCACCAUGUAUUCGAUUACCAGAAAUUUAUAAACAUGAACAUUGAUUUUGAUUUUAACAACAAAUUGUAAACAGGAAAAUAUGGACAGCAACGACAAUUUUAACAAUAUUUGAUUAACAUAAAUUGAUUUGCUUAUUAAUAAAUCGAUUUUCAGGAGAUGAGGUUGAGAAAACAUAAGAGAAAUCGAGUUUAACAAACCCCUCGAUUUUCACAUUGAGAGAUAGCGAGAGUGAGAGAUAACGACAUCGAUUCACUAACCUGGCGGAAGAUUGGAGAAGACGACGACCUGGUGUAAGAUUGUAGAAGAUGAAGUUGUUUGGAGAAGAAGAUUAGAAUGGUUUGGUAGGUAUAAUGGUAAAUUUUAACUUUCCGUGUUAAUAAGGAAUUGAUUCCAUCUUGUUGGUGAAGGAAAGUAUUUUCCCUCCAUUGAAGGAAUGUUUUCUCAUUUAAGAAUCUCUUUCCUUCUCUAAAAGUUGAACCAAACACAUGACUUCGGGGGAAUUGAAAUCAUUUUCCCUCGAAUUCC